rnacentral:rRNA from 1 species
UACGUAGGGUGCGAGCGUUAAUCGGAAUUACUGGGCGUAAAGCGUGCGCAGGCGGUUUUGUAAGCCAGAUGUGAAAUCUCCGGGCCUAACCCGGAAACUGCGUCGGAUACUAUCCGGCUAGAGGAUUGGAUGGGAGACUGGAAUACUUGGUGUAGCAGUGAAAUGCGUAGAUAUCAAGUGGAACACCAGUGGCGAAGGCGAGUCCCUGGACAACUCCUGACACUGAGGCACGAAAGCUAGGGGAGCAAACAGG